rnacentral:rRNA from 1 species
AGUUGGAAUUGCAGAGGGGGAGGUAGUGCCGGAGCUGCUCGCGAUCUUCAAAGCUUAGUACAAACAAAUAGCCCUAAUAUUGUUUUUCUAUGUGAGACCAGGCAAUCAAAAGAAAGAAUGAAAAAGUAUCGAUCUAGGCUGGGACUACGAGGGUUUGAUGCAGUUGAUAGUAUUGGUCGAAGUGGAGGCCUAGCCCUAUACUGGCAUGAGUCCCUGCAACUUGAAAUAAAAUCGAUGAAUGGGAGGUAUAUUGAUGCGCAUGUGCGUGAGGCUGUGGAUGAGCCCCCAUGGAGGCUUACAUGUGUCUACGGUGAACCUCGAACAGAGGACCGUCAUCUUAUGCGGUCCCUUCUUCGAUAUCUCCAUCAACUCGAGGAUAUGCCAUGGGCUGUGAUCGGGGACUUCAACGAGGCCAUGUGGGGCUUCGAACACCUAUCGGACACCCCGCGGUCGGUAGGGCAGAUGAUCGAUUUUCAAGAUGUCUUGGAACUUUGUGAGCUAGGUGAUCUUGGCUUUUCAGGUUUUCCAUUCACUUUUGAUAAUCGACGAGCUGGGAGAGAGAAUGUUAAGGUCCGGUUGGACCGAGCGGUGGCAAACAAUGACUGGCGGGAUCUCUUCUCCAAGUCCGAGGUGGUGCAUUUGGUGGCGCCCAGCUCGGACCACCUGCCGAUAUUACUCAAGUGUUCGGCCUUGCAUGAUAGGCCGGAGCCAUCCAAAUGA